rnacentral:misc_RNA from 1 species
UCCGGCUUAUCACCGGCAGUCCCUUUAGAGUGCCCAACUAAAUGGUGGCAACUAAUGGCAAGGGUUGCGCUCGUUGCGGGACUUAACCCAACAUCUCACGACACGAGCUGACGACAGCCAUGCAGCACCUGUGUCCAGGUUCCCUUUCGGGCACCGCUGCAUUUCUGCAGCGUUCCUGGCAUGUCAAGGGUAGGUAAGGUUUUUCGCGUUGCAUCGAAUUAAACCACAUCAUCCACCGCUUGCGCGGGCCCCCGUCAAUUCCUUUGAGUUUUAGCCUUGCGGCCGUAGUCCCCAGGCGGGGUGCUUACCGCGUUAGCUGCGGCACCGCGGGGGUCGAUACCCGCGACACCUAGCACCCAUCGUUUACGGCGUGGACUAC